GCUAGACCUGAGCGUCCUUGAGGAGAGGAACCAUCCAGAGCAGGAGGACUGGGUAGUUCAUCCGAUGCCAGCUGCCAGGCAAAGGAGAAGGAUGCAAACAAGAUAUGUUAAGUAAAAUACUCCUGGAUGAGCAAGCUGUAAAGGAAAAGGAAAUUAUUCCUGUGGAGCAGGAUAAAGGCUCACCAAGCAGACAGCAUGUGGGCAGUGCUCAGAAUGGGGAAUGACUCUUUGAAGGGCAUGAAAAUCUGCACCAGAGCUAAAACCUGGAGCUGGCUCUCAAGUGAAGGGGGAAUCAUCUGAUAGAAGAUAAGAUGCUUUCUCAGAGAAGGGACACAAAGAGCAGAGUGAGACUGUCACGGCAGCGGGCCGGGAAGGACAGCGGCUGCCUUUAAAGGAAAUGAGCCCUCGUCUCUUCUGUGUGGACCUAAAAUUGUGCCCGACGGAACCCAAGUUCUUAAAACUUGAAAAAAUAAAAAAAACCCACCCCGAAAGAGCUUUGCUCCUCCUCUCCUGCAAUCUCCGUCUCCCUAACAGUCGAUCAGCCAGAGUUUGGCAAGCCAGGGCAGCAGACUUGAAAAGAUUUCAGAGUUUGCUUGGAACAAAAAGCCGUGUGUAUUUUUUUUUUUUUUUCCAAAGGAGAAAUAAGACCGGCUGCAGUGAAAAAAAUAAAACCGCUGACAUGAAGCCAGCCGCUCUUUUGUUCUUCCUCUGGAUACUCUGGUUGGUUUGAUGUGCCCAGACCUUGGUGUCAUGGAUCUCACUAAAGAACUACCCACCAGCUGAAAACACAGAGGGGGAAAAAGGGAGGAGAGAGAAGAAUGAGGGCAAGUUAAACCUUUACAGUCAGAUUCCUCCAAAGCAUUAAAGCUCUGGCAGAGAAAUUGAGAGAUAGUCAGUUUAGAAGGGGAAAUGCUGGGAAGAGGAGAAGGAGGUGAAGUCAGCAGGGGUCUCUAAAGGCACCGCUUGGGGUGGAGAACGUCCAGCCCCCCAUCCCGAGUGACGCACUGCCAGCACUGGACGGACUCCCCGGGCUGGGACAGCCGGUCCCGGGACCCCCACGAGUGGGGCUGUGGGACCCCCGUGUCGGGAGGAAAAGCACAGCAAAGGCAAUCGCGAAGCUCGGGCCAUACCU